rnacentral:tRNA from 1 species
GGAGAGGUGGCCGAGUGGCUGAAGGCGCCGGUCUUGAAAACCGGUGACGCGCAAGCGUCCGGGGGUUCGAAUCCCUCCCUCUCCG